rnacentral:lncRNA from 1 species
UUCUUUUCCUUAGGGAGUUAUACCAAAUCCCAAGUCUGAUUCUUGUGGAGAGAUUUCAUCUCUUCAUCCAUUACCUCUUUCUAUUUUGCACUUUCUACACUCUGUACUGCUUCUUUGUAGGUGUAGGGGAUUCCAUCAUCAAUCACUGGAAGUGUAUAAGCCACCAUGUUACAAUACCGAGCAGGUUUCUUGAUAACGCUUUUUGGUUU